AAUAGAUACCCGGGUAGUCCACGCCGUAAACGAUGAGUGCUAAGUGUUAGGGGGUUUCCGCCCCUUAGUGCUGCAGCUAACGCAUUAAGCACUCCGCCUGGGGAGUACGGCCGCAAGGCUGAAACUCGAAAGGAAGUUGACGGGGGCCCGCACAAGCGGUGGAGCAUGUGGUUUAAUUCGAAGCAACGCGAAGAACCUUACCAGGUCUUGACAUCUCCUGACCGCCCUGGAGACAGGGUCUUCCCUUCGGGGACAGGAUGACAGGUGGUGCAUGGUUGUCGUCAGCUCGUGUCGUGAGAUGUUGGGUUAAGUCCCGCAACGAGCGCAACCCUUGUCCUUAGUUGCCAGCAUUCAGUUGGGCACUCUAAGGAGACUGCCGGCUAAAAGUCGGAGGAAGGUGGGGAUGACGUCAAAUCAUCAUGCCCCUUAUGACCUGGGCUACACACGUGCUACAAUGGGCGGUACAGAGGGUCGCGAACCCGCGAGGGGGGAGCCGAAUCCCAAAAAACCGGCUCUCAGUUCGGAUUGCAGGCUGCAACUCG
rnacentral:rRNA from 1 species